GAUGAACGCUGGCGGCGUGCCUAAUACAUGCAAGUCGAGCGAACGGACGAGAAGCUUGCUUCUCUGACGUUAGCGGCGGACGGGUGAGUAACACGUGGAUAACCUACCUAUAAGACUGGGAUAACUUCGGGAAACCGGAGCUAAUACCGGCUAAUAUUUUGAACCGCAUGGUUCAAAAGUGAAAGACGGUCCUGCUGUCACUUAUAGAUUGAUCCGCGCUGCAUUAGCUAGUUGGUAAGGUAACGGCUUACCAAGGCAACGAUGCAUAGCCGACCUGAGAGGGUGAUCGGCCACACUGGAACUGAGACACGGUCCAGACUCCUACGGGAGGCAGCAGUAGGGAAUCUUCCGCAAUGGGCGAAAGCCUGACGGAGCAACGCCGCGUGAGUGAUGAAGGUCUUCGGAUCGUAAAGCUCUGUUAUUAGGGAAGAACAUAUGUGUAAGUAACUGUGCACAUCUUGACGGUACCUAAUCAGAAAGCCACGGCUAACUACGUG
rnacentral:rRNA from 1 species